UUGCAUAAGUUAUUAAAAACAGGAAAAGUUAACACAUCGGUCUGCUGUUGUGUUGUCACCACAGUGUCGGUGCCGCACAAUCUGAUGCUCUUGCUGUUAAAAAUAAAUGUAGCUAACUUCAGUUAAUCUGAUGCUCUUGCAUAAGCGCUGCAAGGACGUCUUAUCAUCGAUGAUGCUGUCCAUCACCAGAGUCAACCGGGUUCGUCAAACGCAGGCUCGUGCAAAAGCUUCUAUCCGCGGGUAGCAACUAGCAAGCAGUUAAUUGGAGUUUAACAAGCAGCAGUUAUCCAACGGUUUCAUUUGGAGCUUAACAGGCAGCAUUCAACAAGCAGUUUUUUUUCCGGAUGCAGUUAUCUACAGAAACAAAAAUGAUGUGGCUCGUUAGUAAAUUUGAUCUAAAUCACUAAAUGAGCUGAAUAGAUAACCAGGCCAUCAGGGGCAUUCCACACAACCCAAACUGCUCGCUCUGCUCGACAACGCCGAAAACGGCUGCUCACCUGCUGGCAG